GAUGAACGCUAGCGGCAGGCAUAAUACAUGCAAGUUGAACGGGAUUCAGAUAGCAAUAUUUGAUGAGAGUGGCGCACGGGUGCGUAACACGUAUGCAACUUACCUUAAACUGGGAGAUAGCCCGUGGAAACAUGGAUUAAUAUCCCAUAGUAUAAAGAACAGGCAUUUGUUUUUUAUUAAAGCUCCGGCGGUUUAAGAUGGGCAUGCGCGUCAUUAGCUAGAUGGAGAGGUAACGGCUCACCAUGGCAACGAUGACUAGGGGGUCUGAGAGGAUGUCCCCCCACACUGGUACUGAGACACGGACCAGACUCCUACGGGAGGCAGCAGUAGGGAAUAUUGGGCAAUGGACGCAAGUCUGACCCAGCCAUGCCGCGUGCAGGAAGACGGCCCUCUGGGUUGUAAACUGCUUUUAUCAGGGAAGAAACCCUUCUACGUGUAGGAGGCUGACGGUACCUGAGGAAUAAGGAUCGGCUAACUCCGUGCCAGCACG
rnacentral:rRNA from 1 species